rfam:Vagococcus teuberi strain DSM 21459, complete genome.
CUGCAUGAGCUAAUCCUGGUGAAAUAAAAUGCACAUGGAUAUCUAAACCUCCUGCAGUAACAAUUAAACCUUCUGCAGAUAUUGCUUCAGUACUUGCACCAACAACAAAGUCAAUGUUAUCCAUGUUGUCUGGAUUUCCACCUUUACCAAUUGCGAUAAUUUUUCCAUCACGAAUACCAAUAUCUGCUUUGAUAAUUCCUGUGUAGUCUAUAAUUGUCGCAUUAGUAAUAAUAGUAUCCACUACUAGAGGAUUUGAACGGCGUGUUUCUGUCG